AUAAGUUUGUCUUUAUACUGCAUAUUAAUUCACUCUUUUGGCAUUGAUGCUCUUUCUUUCUCCGUACGGAAGCUUCUGGACGGGAUUUAGACAAGGAAACGGAGACCCGUGCAAAAUCGAGCAUCCUGGUGGUGCCUCGACCAAAGCGGGUCGACGGAUAGCGCCGGUGAGCACGGAGCAUGGUGCAGCGAGUUGGAUAGGCGGUAAGAGAGGUGACCACGGGUGUGGCUUGGGGAGCUCCGCACACAUGAAGUGAUGAUGAGUGCAUCCGCCCCCACCAUGCUGCUGGUCCUGGAGAACAAGGGGUAUAUGAACCAGAAAUGAUGUGAUAUACUUGGUUAUUUGAACAUGAAGGUCAACCACGGGGUGGCGCGGCAUGGGUGAGCUGAAAUUGUUCUACUGAUUCCUUGAUGCUUUGUUCAUUGCUUUGUUCUUAUUUUAUCGUUCUUUAUUUGCUUUGUUCUUUCCUACAAGAAGAUGCCGAGUCGUGCAAUAUGUUCAAAGAAGUGAGAAUCUGCAUUUUAUGAAUGUUUUCUUCUUUCUUCAUUGUUACCUCAAGUCAGUGAAUUCAGUUAAGUUGUACUGAGCAGCUUCAUACGCAUGGUUUCUCCAUCUACACAUCUUAUUCAGUCACGAGGCCAUUAAGAUCUUUUUGACUUUUAUAAAAAGGGUGAUGCCAAUUGGACGUCACCCUGUCCAACUUGAUCUUUAACUUGCUAUUACUGUUUGGAUCUUCACAUUCAAGGAUUUUUCAUUAAAUCAUCGGUUCACCAGUUCUUUGUUACUUGAGAUAUUGUGAUAAACUUAUAUCAUUGCUUACUAUACAUAUGUCUGGAUGAUGCCUGCAGGCUCAUUACAAGCUUCAGGUGGAUCAAAUAGUGGGCCUUCUAUAUAUAUAUUCAGCUGUAUCAUUUCUUACUAUAUAUAUCUUCCUGUCGACCAGACGAAACCAUACAUGGAUCCUUCGCCUCCUUUCUUGCUCAGAACCCAUGAUACAACCUCGGCGGCUGUCCAGCGACUAACAGGUAAUUUCUCUUUCAAUUUGAUGAUGAUGGAUGAGAAUCAGUUCUAUGAUUGCAGCUUAUAAAAACAGAUGUUGGAUGUCCCUUAUGUGAUGUGCUUAUUUACCAUGAUAGAUGCAAUUGCUUAUUAGUAGGUGCUCUCCGAAUCCUUCUUUAACUAAUUUACUUUGAAGUUCGGACAAAGGAGACUAUAACUUUUUAUAUUCGUUCUAUCAUGGAUUCCCUCUCUAGCCUAUGUACGUUUCAGAAAUAGGUACACACCUAGGAGAAGCCUGAGACCUAAUAAUAGUGCUAAGCAAUUACUCUGAUUGUCAUUCUAUGCUAUCAUCACAACACAGGUCAAUAGACAGUCAACAAAUGUGUAAUCAGCUUUCCCUGGGUCCUGCAUCAUCUACUAAUAAUCAAAUUUUGUGGCGAGCGUCUUAUA